UACGUAGGGUGCGAGCGUUGUCCGGAAUUAUUGGGCGUAAAGAGCUUGUAGGUGGUUUGUCGCGUCUGCUGUGAAAAUCCGAGGCUCAACCUCGGACUUGCAGUGGGUACGGGCAGACUAGAGUGUGGUAGGGGAGACUGGAAUUCCUGGUGUAGCGGUGAAAUGCGCAGAUAUCAGGAGGAACACCGGUGGCGAAGGCGGGGUCUCUGGGCAGUAACUGACGCUGGAGGAGCGAAAGCGUGGGGAGCGAAACAGG
rnacentral:rRNA from 1 species